CAACGGAGAGUUUGAUCCUGGCUCAGGAUGAACGCUGGCGGCGUGCUUAACACAUGCAAGUCGAACGAACCUUCGGGUUAGUGGCGGACGGGUGAGUAACGCGUGAGAAUCUGCCCUCAGGAGGGGGAUAACGGUUGGAAACGACCGCUAAUACCCCAUAUGCCGAGAGGUGAAAUGAAUUUCGCCUGAGGAUGAGCUCGCGUCUGAUUAGUUAGUUGGUGGGGUAAUGGCCUACCAAGACAUCGAUCAGUAGCUGGUCUGAGAGGAUGAUCAGCCACACUGGGACUGAGACACGGCCCAGACUCCUACGGGAGGCAGCAGUGGGGAAUUUUCCGCAAUGGGCGAAAGCCUGACGGAGCAACGCCGCGUGAGGGAUGAAGGCCUCUGGGCUGUAAACCUCUUUUAUCAAGGAAGAAGAUCUGACGGUACUUGAUGAAUAAGCCACGGCUAAUUCCGUGCCAGCAGCCGCGGUAAUACGGGAGUGGCAAGCGUUAUCCGGAAUUAUUGGGCGUAAAGCGUCCGCAGGCGGUCUGUCAAGUCUGCUGUUAAAGCGUGGAGCUUAACUCCAUUUCGGCAGUGGAAACUGACAGACUAGAGUGUGGUAGGGGCAGAGGGAAUUCCCGGUGUAGCGGUGAAAUGCGUAGAUAUCGGGAAGAACACCAGUGGCGAAGGCGCUCUGCUGGGCCAUAACUGACGCUCAUGGACGAAAGCCAGGGGAGCGAAAGGGAUUAGAUACCCCUGUAGUCCUGGCCGUAAACGAUGAACACUAGGUGUCGGGGGAAUCGACCCCCUCGGUGUCGUAGCCAACGCGUUAAGUGUUCCGCCUGGGGAGUACGCACGCAAGUGUGAAACUCAAAGGAAUUGACGGGGGCCCGCACAAGCGGUGGAGUAUGUGGUUUAAUUCGAUGCAACGCGAAGAACCUUACCAGGGUUUGACAUCCUGCGAAUCUCUUGGAAACGAGAGAGUGCCUUCGGGAACGCAGUGACAGGUGGUGCAUGGCUGUCGUCAGCUCGUGUCGUGAGAUGUUGGGUUAAGUCCCGCAACGAGCGCAACCCACGUCGUUAGUUGCCAGCAUUUAGUUGGGCACUCUAGCGAGACCGCCGGUGAUAAACCGGAGGAAGGUGUGGAUGACGUCAAGUCAUCAUGCCCCUUACAUCCUGGGCUACACACGUACUACAAUGCUACGGACAAAGGGCAGCAAACUCGCGAGAGCUAGCAAAUCCCAUAAACCGUGGCUCAGUUCAGAUCGUAGGCUGCAACUCGCCUACGUGAAGGAGGAAUCGCUAGUAAUCGCAGGUCAGCAUACUGCGGUGAAUACGUUCCCGGGCCUUGUACACACCGCCCGUCACACCAUGGAAGUUGGCCACGCCCGAAGCCGUUACUCCAACCCUUGUGGAGGAGGACGUCGAAGGUGGGGCUGAUGACUGGGGUGAAGUCGUAACAAGGUAGCCGUACCGGAAGGUGCGGCUGGAUCACCUCCUAA
rnacentral:rRNA from 1 species